AGUGGUGGACCGGAUGCAGAGAAAGCCGGAGCCCUCAGCGGAAGCCCCCGGCAAGCUUUUGUUUUUCCUUUUUUGUUUCCUGCAAGUGUUGCGCUUGGCGCUGUUGAACAAUUAAUGCUUUAUUAGCCCAUGUAAUCAUUCGCUACUUUUAUGAAUUUCAUUUUCUGGUUCUACUUGGUUCUUGUUCCCGAAACUGACUCGCGGGGUGGAUCUUCUUGUCCCCGUGUGUUGCGCUUUGUGUUGCCGUGGACUCGCACGCUACCGGCUUAACCAGACCAGGGACCCGGGACGGACCCGCAGUGCCAACCUGGGGCCAAGUAGCAGCGGCGAGCCACUCCGCUUGCGGGUUAGCUACUCCCAAGCACGCGCCCACGGGACGGACCCGCAAGCCGCAUGA
rnacentral:lncRNA from 1 species